CCUACGGGAGGCAGCAGUGGGGAAUAUUGGACAAUGGGCGCAAGCCUGAUCCAGCCAUGCCGCGUGUGUGAUGACGGCCUUAGGGUUGUAAAGCACUUUCGCCGAUGAAGAUAAUGACUGUAGUCGGAGAAGAAGCCCCGGCUAACUUCGUGCCAGCAGCCGCGGUAAUACGAAGGGGGCUAGCGUUGUUCGGAAUUACUGGGCGUAAAGCGUACGUAGGCGGAUUGUUAAGUGAGGGGUGAAAUCCCGAGGCUCAACCUCGGAACUGCCUUUCAUACUGGCAAUCUUGAGUCCGGGAGAGGUGAGUGGAACUCCUAGUGUAGAGGUGAAAUUCGUAGAUAUUAGGAAGAACACCAGUGGCGAAGGCGGCUCACUGGCCCGGAACUGACGCUGAGGUACGAAAGCGUGGGGAGCAAACAGGAUUAGAUACCCUUGUAGUC
rnacentral:rRNA from 1 species